rnacentral:rRNA from 1 species
CGGAAGAUGUAACGGGGCUAAGUAGUAAACCGAAGCUGCGGCAAUAUACUUUUGUAUAUUGGGUAGGGGAGCGUUCUGUAAGCCGUUGAAGGUGUGUUGUAAAGCAUGCUGGAGGUAUCAGAAGUGCGAAUGCUGACAUGAGUAACGAUAAAGGGGGUGAAAAACCUCCUCGCCGGAAGACCAAGGGUUCCUGUCCAACGUUAAUCGGGGCAGGGUAAGUCGACCCCUAAGGCGAGGCCGAAAGGCGUAGUCGAUGGGAAACGGGUUAAUAUUCCCGUACUUCUUACAAUUGCGAUGGGGGGACGGAGAAGGCUAGGUGGGCCUGGCGACGGUUGUCCAGGUUCAAGUGCGUAGGCUUAAGAG